UGCAGAAUCCCGUGAACCAUCGAGUCUUUGAACGCAAGUUGCGCCCGAAGCCGUUAGGCCGAGGGCACGUCUGCCUGGGCGUCUCGC
rnacentral:rRNA from 3 species